rnacentral:rRNA from 1 species
AAUACAACUUUCAACAACGGAUCUCUUGGCUCUCGCAUCGAUGAAGAACGCAGCGAAAUGCGAUAAUUAAUGUGAAUUGCAGAAUUCAGUGAAUCAUCGAAUCUUUGAACGCACCUUGCGCUCCUUGGUAUUCCAAGAAGCAUGCCUGUUUGAGUGUCA